UUGUGCUUGAUCUAACCAUGUGCUGCCGCCUGCUCUCGCUCCACAUGGUUCCGUCAAGCACCAGG
rnacentral:pre_miRNA from 1 species